UAGUCUUUGAACUCUUCGAGAAUUUGUCUAGCAGAUUUUCCAGUUUCUACCAGAAAGUACCCCC